rnacentral:rRNA from 1 species
GACGAACGCGGCGGCGUGCCUAAUACAUGCAAGUAGAACGCACAGUUUAUACCGUAGCUUGCUACACCAUAGACUGUGAGUUGCGAACGGGUGAGUAACGCGUAGGUAACCUGCCUGGUAGCGGGGGAUAACUAUUGGAAACGAUAGCUAAUACCGCAUAAUAUUAAUUAUUGCAUGAUAAUUAAUUGAAAGGUGCAAUUGCACCACUACCAGAUGGACCUGCGUUGUAUUAGCUAGUAGGUGAGGUAACGGCUCACCUAGGCGACGAUACAUAGCCGACCUGAGAGGGUGAUCGGCCACACUGGGACUGAGACACGGCCCAGACUCCUACGGGAGGCAGCAGUAGGGAAUCUUCGGCAAUGGACGAAAGUCUGACCGAGCAACGCCGCGUGAGUGAAGAAGGUUUUCGGAUCGUAAAGCUCUGUUGUAAGAGAAGAACGGGUGUGAGAGUGGAAAGUUCACACUG